rnacentral:rRNA from 1 species
AUUGAACGCUGGCGGCAGGCCUAACACAUGCAAGUCGAGCGGUAACAGGAAGAAAGCUUGCUUUCUUUGCUGACGAGCGGCGGACGGGUGAGUAAUGCUUAGGAAAUUGCCCUGAUGUGGGGGAUAACCAUUGGAAACGAUGGCUAAUACCGCAUGAUGUCGCAAGACCAAAGAGGGGGACCUUAGGGCCUCUCGCGUCAGGAUAUGCCUAAGUGGGAUUAGCUAGUUGGUGAGGUAAUGGCUCACCAAGGCGACGAUCCCUAGCUGGUCUGAGAGGAUGAUCAGCCACACUGGGACUGAGACACGGCCCAGACUCCUACGGGAGGCAGCAGUAGGGAAUUUUCGGCAAUGGGGGCAACCCUGACCGAGCAACGCCGCGUGAGUGAUGAAGGCCUUCGGGUUGUAAAGCUCUGUUGUAAAGGAAGAAUGGCAGAGAUAGAAUCUUUGUAUGACGGUACUUUACCAGAAAGCCACGGCUAACUACGUGCCAGCAGCCGCGGUAAUACGUAGGUGGCAAGCGUUAUCCGGAAUUAUUGGGCGUAAAGGGUGCGCAGGCGGCCAUAUAAGUCUGGGGUGAAAGACCGAAGCUCAACUUCGGUUUGCCUUGGAAACUGUAUGGCUAGAGUGCAAGAGAGGACAAUGGAAUUCCAUGU